rfam:Dipodomys ordii ctg_broad_rename0029163, whole genome shotgun sequence.
UAAGGGAAUGAUGAAAGAUAAACCUAAGUAUAAAAAAGCAAAGAUUCAACCUUAUACCUUUUGCAUAAUGAGCUAACUAGAAAACACCUGACAAAGAGAACUUAAGCCAGAGACCCCGAAAUCAGACGAGCUACCUUAGAACAGCCUACCACAGGGCCAACUCAUCUAUGUGGCAAAAUAGUGAGAAGAUUUUAAGGUAGAGGUGAAAAGCCUAACGAGCCUGAUGAUAGCUGGUUGUCCAAGAAAGAAUCUUAGUUCACCUUAAAACUUACCUGCAUUUCCAAAAUAAAAUUACUGUAAGUUUUAAAGCUAACCUAAAGAGGUACAGCUCUUUAGAUAGAGGAUACAACCUAAAGUAAAGAGUAAUUGAUACAAUAUUCAUAGUAGGCCUAAAAGCAGCCAUCAAUUAAGAAAGCGUUAAAGCUCAACACUAUUAUAUAAUUUAUUCCAAUAAUAUAUUACAUCUCUUACAAAAUAACUGGACCAAUCUAAUUAAUAUUAGAUGAAAUACUGUUAGUAUAAGUAAUAAGAAAAAUUUUCUCCUAGCACAAGUGUAUAACAGAACGAAUAAAUCGCUGAUAGUUAACAAUCAUACAUUUCCACCUAAACUACUAGAACCAAUGUUAUUAAUUUAUGUUUAGCCCAUCACAGGAGUGCAAACUAGGAAAGAUUAAUAAAUGUAAAAGGAACUCGGCAAACUUAAACCCCGCCUGUUUACCAAAAACAUCACCUCUAGCAUUCCCAGUAUUAGAGGCACCGCCUGCCCAGUGACGCAAGUUAAACGGCCGCGGUAUCCUGUCCGUGCAAAGGUAGCAUAAUAAUUUGUUCCUUAAUUAGGGACUUGUAUGAAUGGCAUCACGAGGGUUUAACUGUCUCUUACAUUCGAUCAAUGAAAUU